CCUACGGGAGGCAGCAGUGAGGAAUAUUGGACAAUGGGCGCAAGCCUGAUCCAGCCAUGCCGCGUGCAGGAAGACUGCCCUAUGGGUUGUAAACUGCUUUUAUACAGGAAGAAUAAGCCUUACGUGUAAAGUGAUGACGGUACUGUAAGAAUAAGGACCGGCUAACUCCGUGCCAGCAGCCGCGGUAAUACGGAGGGUCCAAGCGUUAUCCGGAAUUAUUGGGUUUAAAGGGUCCGUAGGUGGAUAAUUAAGUCAGGGGUGAAAGUUUGCAGCUCAACUGUAAAAUUGCCUUUGAUACUGGUUAUCUUGAAUUGUAUUGAAGUAGGCGGAAUAUGUAGUGUAGCGGUGAAAUGCAUAGAUAUUACAUAGAACACCAAUUGCGAAGGCAGCUUACUAAGUACCAAUUGACACUGAUGGACGAAAGCGUGGGUAGCGAACAGGAUUAGAUACCCUGGUAGUCCACGCCGUAAACGAUGGAUACUAGCUGUUCGGAAUUUAUUCUGAGCGGCCCAGCGAAAGUGAUAAGUAUCCCACCUGGGGAGUACGUUCGCAAGAAUGAAACUCAAAGGAAUUGACGGA
rnacentral:rRNA from 1 species